rnacentral:rRNA from 1 species
AGAGGCGAUGAAGGACGUAUUAACUUGCGAUAAGCCCAGAUUAGACAGUAAAAGUCAUUUGAGUCUGGGAUUUCCGAAUGGGGAAACCCACUUACAUAAGUAAGUAUCUUGUUGUGAAUACAUAGCAGCAAGAGGCAAACCGGGGGAACUGAAACAUCUAAGUACCCCGAGGAAGAGAAAUCAACCGAGAUUCCGAAAGUAGCGGCGAGCGAAAUUGGAUUAGCCCUUAAGCUUUUAAUGA